GCCCUAGUAGCUUAACAUUAAAGCAUUGUUCUUGUAAACCAAAGCUGGACUCAACCCCUAGAGCA
rnacentral:tRNA from 1 species